rnacentral:lncRNA from 1 species
CAGAGCUCACUGGUCAACUGUACAAUUCUAUUCGUCUCAACAUAUUUGUUGCCUGGUCACUACAUGUUGGGCAUGGGGAAUAUGGUGGUGGGCAAGAGAAGAAUGUUGUCUUGCUCUUAUAGGGCUUAUAUUGGUUGUAAGGAUCAGUAUAAGCCAACUGCUGUUUAAUUUUGACCUUCUCUCCCUCUCUACUUAGUCAGCAGAGUCGUAUGAUAUGCACUAGUACCAAGUAGGCAUCUGAACAGUGUGAUCAGCUAGAAAGGUUUGAGCUCAGAGAUGGAGCACCGACCACCAUGCUGGAGGAGAAUCAUGAGGAUAUAAUUACAAGCACUGAGUUGCUUAACAGGAAUAUGCGGAGUGAAUAGUUUCGUGCCACAGUGGAUGGAAUCCUGCACAGCCCAUUCCAGCUGCGUAGAGGAGGUGAAAGGAGCCAUCAACAUGCCCUGGAACCUCUGCCGCGGUUGCCAUAAAAGGAAGAGUCACGUACGACCUCUCUUUGAAGUACUGAAAGAAAAAAGAGAAACAAACACCUGACAUGAGCUAUAUCAUUACCUUGGUUUAACUGAUACUUAAAAACUGUCCUCUGUUGUUAUCAUUUUUUGAAACUGAGCUCUAUCAUAUCUUAGCUACAACCUAUGAGAAAACUCUAAGAGGAAAUCCCAGGAAGAAUUGACUUUUCAAUCUUCCGUCUUUCAAUUUCUUUGCUUGCAAAUAAAAUUAGUAUUAGAGGCCUUAGAACAAAAUCAGUACUACUCAUAUCCUGCUUAGGUAAGCCAGAUGACAUACUUGUUUAUUCAGAAACUGAAAGUUCCUUUCACUUUUAUUAUUUUCCAGCCUAGGGUUUCAAANNAUCCUUGAAUAGUUCUCAAAUAAAUGGGAAUUUACCAUGGCGGUGCAUACACCCAGAGGU